rnacentral:rRNA from 1 species
AGAAUCAACGCUGGCGGCGUGCCUAACACAUGCAAGUCGAACGCGAAAGUCCCGCAAGGGAUGAGUAGAGUGGCAAACGGGUGAGUAACACGUGGGUGACCUGCCUUCGAGCGGGGGAUAACGUCCCGAAAAGGGACGCUAAUACCGCAUGACAUCCUGCCUUUGAACAGGCGGAGAUCAAAGCUGGGGAUCGCAAGACCUAGCACUCGAUGAGGGGCCCGCGCCUGAUUAGCUAGUUGGUGAGGUAACGGCUCACCAAGGCUACGAUCAGUA